GAGGAACUUGCCUUCUACAGUAAACAGGACAGACAGACAAAAAAAUCAGAAGAAGAAAAGUUUGUCGACUCGUAGAAAUGGUAGACUUAUGAUCCCAGCCUGGUACCCACAGAUCCUGCUGCCAAGCCAGGGCUACUGGCUGUCACCAGCUCCUGUUCCCUACUUUUGUAUGUAUUCUCUUCUAAUGAAAAUCCUUUAUGAUGCAGUUUCUCAUUUUAUGUGCAC